rnacentral:SRP_RNA from 1 species
ACCUGGUGCGGUGGCCCGUGCCUGUAGUCUUAGCUACUCAGGAGGCUGAGGCUGGAGAAUCCCUUGAGUUCCGGAUUUCUGGGCUGUAGUGUGCUAUACCAAUCGGGCGUCUGCACUAAGUUCGGCAUCAAUAUGGCGACCUCCCAGGAGUGGGGGGACCACCAGGUUGCCUAAGGAGGGGUGAACCAGCCAGGUCGUAAAUGGAGCAGGUUAAAACUCCCAUGCUGAUCAGUAGUGGGAUUGUGCCCAUGAAUAGCCACCGCACUCCAGCCUGGGCAACAUAGUGAGACCCUGCCUCU